GAUGAACGCUGGCGGCGUGCCUAAUACAUGCAAGUCGAGCGAACAGAUAAGGAGCUUGCUCCUUUGACGUUAGCGGCGGACGGGUGAGUAACACGUGGGUAACCUACCUAUAAGACUGGAAUAACUCCGGGAAACCGGGGCUAAUGCCGGAUAACAUUUAGAACCGCAUGGUUCUAAAGUGAAAGAUGGUUUUGCUAUCACUUAUAGAUGGACCCGCGCCGUAUUAGCUAGUUGGUAAGGUAACGGCUUACCAAGGCAACGAUACGUAGCCGACCUGAGAGGGUGAUCGGCCACACUGGAACUGAGACACGGUCCAGACUCCUACGGGAGGCAGCAGUAGGGAAUCUUCCGCAAUGGGCGAAAGCCUGACGGAGCAACGCCGCGUGAAUGAUGAAGGUCUUCGGAUCGUAAAACUCUGUUAUUAGGGAAGAACAAAUGUGUAAGUAACUGUGCACGUCUUGACGGUACCUAAUCAGAAAGCCACGGCUAACUACGUG
rnacentral:rRNA from 1 species